rnacentral:rRNA from 1 species
UGUGUAGGCGGCCACGCAAGUCGGAUGUGAAAGCCCUGGGCUCAACCCAGGAAGUGCACCCGAUACUGCAUGGCUUGAGUACCGGAGAGGUUGGUGGAAUUCUCGGUGUAGAGGUGAAAUUCGUAGAUAUCGAGAGGAACACCGGUGGCGAAGGCGGCCAACUGGACGAGUACUGACGCUGAGACACGAAAGCGUGGGGAGCAAACAGGAUUAGAUACCCUGGUAGUCCACGCCGUAAACGAUGGGUGCUAGGUGUCACGGGCUUUGACUCCUGUGGUGCCGUAGCCAACGCAUUAAGCACCCCGCCUGGGAAGUACGGCCGCAAGGCUAAA